rnacentral:rRNA from 1 species
GCCUGAACCAGCGACGCCGCGUGAAGGAUGAAGGUUUUCGGAUCGUAAACUUCUGUGGUAAGGGAAAAAUGCCAUUGAGAGUGGAAAGCUCGAUGGAGAGAUGGUACCUUACUAGAAAGCCCCGGCUAACUACGUG